UGGGGAAUAUUGGGCAAUGGGGGAAACCCUGACCCAGCAACGCCGCGUGAGAGAAGAAGGUUUUCGGAUUGUAAAUCUCUGUCCUUGGGGAAGAAGAAGAUGACGGUACCCGAGGAGGAAGCCCCGGCUAACUACGUGCCAGCAGCCGCGGUAAUACGUAGGGGGCGAGCGUUAUCCGGAAUUACUGGGCGUAAAGGGCGCGUAGGCGGCCGGAUAAGUUGGAUGUGAAAGACCUAGGCUCAACCAGGGAAGAGCAUCCAAGACUGUCUGGCUGGAGUGCAGGAGAGGGAAGUGGAAUUCCUAGUGUAGCGGUGGAAUGCGUAGAUAUUAGGAGGAACACCAGUGGCGAAGGCGACUUCCUGGACUGUAACUGACGCUGAGGCGCGAAAGCGUGGGGAGCAAACA
rnacentral:rRNA from 1 species